CGCACCUUCCGCCCGCUCCGCCCCGCCCCGCCCCUCCACGCCUCCAGCCCUCUGUGCUCCUGGGGCUGGGAGGGCUUGGCUGCCAGGUCCGGGCUCCCCCCUUCCUCCAGAGGGCCGUGGGUCAGCGCUGGAGGCCAGCACCUCCGCGGUGGGGGAGGAAAGGGCAGGUGUCUCACGUCCUUUGAACUGUUAAGGUUGACCUCAGGGUGUUUGGAAACUUGACUGUAGUUUCCUAAAUCUAUACCUGCGCACAGAUCUUUAUUUUCAGAAAAGAAAUGGACAUAAAGGAAAGAGAACGUGUGUAGGAGAGACUCAGUCUGUCUGUGUUGGGCGGAAAGAACCCAGGACCCACAGGGACCUGGGUCAGGUCCGGCCGUGACCCUGACCCAGACCUGAGCAGGACUCAGAGGGCGAGGUCCGUGGAUUUGGAUGAAACCUGACCAAAUGGCCGGAAAAGCUGCUGUUUUUACUGUAACCAAGGCAACAGGAAACCACGGGCUCACAAGACAAGUGGAUCAGCCCAGGAAUGCCAAACGCAGAAGGAAACAUAAAUUCUUCGGCUUAUUUCCCACGUGUAGAUGAAGCCUUCUCUAUGAACAACUGUAAGGAAAUACCACAUCCUCAGAGACAAGAGCCUACAGCUUUAUGAAAGAGAAGAAUUUAAACAUGUUUACAAGGCCUGACUUUACAGUAACCACUAACAUGCACAUGUGUUAGGCUACUUUCUAUUCUAAAGUGAAAUCCCCAAUACAUUGCUUGGUAAACCAUGGUGUGCACUGGGAAUAAGUUUUCAUAUAGAAUCGUGGCCCCAGAAGCAAUGGAAGCAUGCCUUAGUCUUCAGUGCAACUGAAAACCUGGUGAUCAAUCAUAAGGUAAAAUUUGGACUGCUUUCCCCA